GAUUAAGCCAUGCAUGUGUAAGUAUAAAUAGUUAACUUUGAAACUGCGAAUGGCUCAUUAUAUCAGUUAUAGUUUAUUUGAUGAAGAAUACUAACUGGAUAACCGUAGUAAUUCUAGAGCUAAUACAUGUAUAAAGUCUUGUAGACUGCAUUUAUUAGAAUGAAAACCAUAGGUUUCGGCCUAUUCGUGAGUAAUAAUAACUAAUCAUAUCGUAUGCUUAUGUAACGAUGUGUCUUUCAAGUUUCUGCCCUAUCAGCUUUCGAUGGUAGUGUAUUGGACUACCAUG
rnacentral:rRNA from 1 species